rnacentral:lncRNA from 1 species
GUGUUUCAGGUUUGCCGAGGGCAGGGUUCUAUGCAGUACUGAAGUCUACCACAUUGUUAUUGUUUGUUGAACUCAUAUUUUAUAAACAAUCGUUAGAACAUCCAGCCUAAAAGGUUAAGCUAGUCAAUGGACAGGCCAACACGCCAGCCUAAAAGAUUAAGCUAGUCAAUGGACAGGCCAACACGCUUAAUAGAAUGAACUCAGCAGGAAGAUGGCAAACUUUAGAGCAUCCUGCAUAAGUUUAGGCUAGUAGGUUCAAAGAUCUAUAAACUAAAUGAUAUCAGACUCACCUUCAGAUGUUAAUGAUUUAAGUUACUCAUCAACAUAGAUUGAUAAAUGACCAUAUGAAUUUCAAAGCAGGAUAGCAUUAUUACCU